rnacentral:rRNA from 1 species
GACGAACGCUGGCGGCGUGCUUAACACAUGCAAGUCGAACGAUGAAGCCGGAGCUUGCUCUGGUGAAUUAGUGGCGAACGGGUGAGUAACGCGUGAGUAACCUGCCCUUGACUCUGGGAUAACAGCGGGAAACUGUAGCUAAUACCGGAUACGACCCUAGGAGGCAUCUCCUGGGGGUGGAAAGCAUUUCGGUCAAGGAUGGACUCGCGGCCUAUCAGCUAGUUGGUGAGGUAAAGGCUCACCAAGGCGACGACGGGUAGCCGGCCUGAGAGGGUGACCGGCCACACUGGGACUGAGACACGGCCCAGACUCCUACGGGAGGCAGCAGUGGGGAAUAUUGCACAAUGGGCGCAAGCCUGAUGCAGCAACACCGCGUGAGGGUUGACGGCCUUCGGGUUGUAAACCUCUUUUAGCAGGGAAGAAGCGAAAGUGACAGUACCUGCAGAAAAAGCACCGGCUAACUACGUGCCAGCCGCCGCAGUAA